rnacentral:rRNA from 1 species
CGGACGGGUGAGUAAUGCUUGGGAAUCUGGCUUAUGGAGGGGGAUAACUACGGGAAACUGUAGCUAAUACCGCGUAAUAUCUUCGGAUUAAAGGGUGGGACUUUCGGGCCACCUGCCAUAAGAUGAGCCCAAGUGGGAUUAGGUAGUUGGUGGGGUAAAGGCCUACCAAGCCGACGAUCUCUAGCUGGUCUGAGAGGAUGACCAGCCACACUGGAACUGAGACACGGUCCAGACUCCUACGGGAGGCAGCAGUGGGGAAUAUUGCACAAUGGGGGGAACCCUGAUGCAGCCAUGCCGCGUGAAUGAAGAAGGCCUUCGGGUUGUAAAGUUCUUUCGGUGAUGAGGAAGGUGUUUGUUUUAAUAGAACAAGCAAUUGACGUUAGUCACAGAAGAAGCACCAGCUAACUCCGUGCCAGCAGCCGCGGUAAUACGGAGGGUGCGAGCGUUAAUCGGAAUGACUGGGCGUAAAGGGCACGCAGGCGGUGACUUAAGUGAGAUGUGAAAGCCCCGAGCUUAACUUGGGAAUUGCAUUUCAUACUGGGUCGCUAGAGUAUUUUAGGGAGGGGUAGAAUUCCACGUGUAGCGGUGAAAUGCGUAGAGAUGUGGAGGAAUACCGAAGGCGAAGGCAGCCCCUUGGGAAUAUACUGACGCUCAUGUGCGAAAGCGUGGGGAGCAAACAGGAUUAGAUACCCUGGUAGUCCACGCUGUAAACGCUGUCGAUUUGGGGAUUGGGCUUUGAGCUUGGUGCCCGUAGCUAACGUGAUAAAUCGACCGCCUGGGGAGUACGGCCGCAAGGUUAAAACUCAAAUGAAUUGA